rnacentral:lncRNA from 1 species
GAAAUGGUACAAAAUAUUAUCCACUUGAAUAGUGGUGGGAUGCGUCCGGUGGCUAGCGACCGGCAAUCUGCGGCGGCCGGUAGCUGACGACCUUGGCAGAGUCACAGUAGCAGGGGAGGACGAGGCCAUCCUUCUCGAGGGCGAGCUUGGCGGCCCUAAUGUUGCCCUCGCAGAGCAUCAGGAGCUCAGACGGGCACCAGGCAUGGUAUGACCCGCCGUCGCCCCCCUACACUUUCUUUGCGAGCGGUCGGCAGCUGGCGGGAAGAGGAGCCAAGCAAGCGAGGCUACGGAACAGAGUCGACAAGAGUGGGUGGGAGGUUUCCGUUCCGUUACCUGAAUCGUAGCGGAUGACGACGGUGACGAAGAUAUGACGUCACUUAGAGAGAGAGAGACGGCAACUUUUGCCCGAGGGAGGGAGGGUGAGUCUCGGUAUGCCUAGGGGUGUGCAAAAUACCCGGGAACCGCCCGGACCGCCCAGAACCGGACCGGAACCGCCCGGAACCGGCAGUUCUUGAGGGAACCGGUCCGGUUCCCAGUUCCAUGGGCGGAUCCGCCCACCUAGACCGGACCGGUUCCCUUUUAAUAUUAAAAAAAAAAUACUAAAAUUGAAUUCAAAGCAAUUGUUUUGUGGUAAUUGUUUUUGCUACAGGAUGAAUACAAAGCUAAAUAUUAGGGAAUUCUUAUGCUUUUUCGUUGUUUAGUUUAUUUAUUAAUAUAAUGAUGAAGGUGAUGUAUUCAAUAAAGUCUUGUUUAGUUGCACUUCUUUUGUUUUCUUGUGUUUGGAUGGUGCCUCAUUUCACCUCCUUUGAUUUGUUUGUGCGACUUGUGAUAUUUUGCCGAACCUAAUGAGGGAUAUGUCCAGUUCAUAGCUUUAAGAGAGACCCAUUUUUCCUAAACACUUACUACUCUUUGUACCUCUAUAUCAACUUACGUACAUCCAUUCCUUCAUUGGUUGCAUUUAUAGUUGCAAUAAAUGAAUUUUUGUUCUACGUACUUAAAUUUGGUUUUUCUUUUUUUGGCUUGCUUUGAUGUCACGUAGUCGUUUUAUGUUGAAAAUCAAAAUUGUUUCACGUCAAGAUCGGUUCCAUGGAUCCACCCAAGAACCGGACCGGACCGGACCGGUGGUUCGGUUCCCGGGUGGAUCCAUGCAACAAACGGGUGGAUCCCGGUUCCAAUUUUUCAGAACCGGUCCUUAGCGGGCAGUUCCCAGUUCUAGGUUGGGAACUGCCCGCCCAGACCAUGCACACCCCUAGGUAUGCCAAGGACCCACCCAACUACGUCCCCUCUUUCUCGCAGAGAGUGAGGGGGUGCAUGAUAAAUUAAAAUUUCUUUUUAGAAAUAAUUUUUCUAUUUCAAAUUUAUUUUUGAAAUAAAAAU